CCCGAUGCAAACUGCGAAUACCGGAGAAUGUUAUCACGGGAGACACACGGCGGGUGCUAACGUCCGUCGUGAAGAGGGAAACAACCCAGACCGCCAGCUAAGGUCCCAAAGUCAUGGUUAAGUGGGAAACGAUGUGGGAAGGCCCAGACAGCCAGGAUGUUGGCUUAGAAGCAGCCAUCAUUUAAAGAAAGCGUAAUAGCUCACUGGUCGAGUCGGCCUGCGCGGAAGAUGUAACGGGGCUAAACCAUGCACCGAAGCUGCGGCAGCGACGCUUAUGCGUUGUUGGGUAGGGGAGCGUUCUGUAAGCCUGUGAAGGUGUGCUGUGAGGCAUGCUGGAGGUAUCAGAAGUGCGAAUGCUGACAUAAGUAACGAUAAAGCGGGUGAAAAGCCCGCUCGCCGGAAGACCAAGGGUUCCUGUCCAACGUUAAUCGGGGCAGGGUGAGUCGACCCCUAAGGCGAGGCCGAAAGGCGUAGUCGAUGGGAAACAGGUUAAUAUUCCUGUACUUGGUGUUACUGCGAAGGGGGGACGGAGAAGGCUAUGUUGGCCGGGCGACGGUUGUCCCGGUUUAAGCGUGUAGGCUGGUUUUCCAGGCAAAUCCGGAAAAUCAAGGCUGAGGCGUGAUGACGAGGCACUACGGUGCUGAAGCAACAAAUGCCCUGCUUCCAGGAAAAGCCUCUAAGCAUCAGGUAACAUCAAAUCGUACCCCAAACCGACACAGGUGGUCAGGUAGAGAAUACCAAGGCGCUUGAGAGAACUCGGGUGAAGGAACUAGGCAAAAUGGUGCCGUAACUUCGGGAGAAGGCACGCUGAUAUGUAGGUGAAGUCCCUCGCGGAUGGAGCUGAAAUCAGUCGAAGAUACCAGCUGGCUGCAACUGUUUAUUAAAAACACAGCACUGUGCAAACACGAAAGUGGACGUAUACGGUGUGACGCCUGCCCGGUGCCGGAAGGUUAAUUGAUGGGGUCAGCGCAAGCGAAGCUCUUGAUCGAAGCCCCGGUAAACGGCGGCCGUAACUAUAACGGUCCUAAGGUAGCGAAAUUCCUUGUCGGGUAAGUUCCGACCUGCACGAAUGGCGUAAUGAUGGCCAGGCUGUCUCCACCCGAGACUCAGUGAAAUUGAACUCGCUGUGAAGAUGCAGUGUACCCGCGGCAAGACGGAAAGACCCCGUGAACCUUUACUAUAGCUUGACACUGAACAUUGAGCCUUGAUGUGUAGGAUAGGUGGGAGGCUUAGAAGUGUGGACGCCAGUCUGCAUGGAGCCGACCUUGAAAUACCACCCUUUAAUGUUUGAUGUUCUAACGUUGACCCGUAAUCCGGGUUGCGGACAGUGUCUGGUGGGUAGUUUGACUGGGGCGGUCUCCUCCUAAAGAGUAACGGAGGAGCACGAAGGUUGGCUAAUCCUGGUCGGACAUCAGGAGGUUAGUGCAAUGGCAUAAGCCAGCUUGACUGCGAGCGUGACGGCGCGAGCAGGUGCGAAAGCAGGUCAUAGUGAUCCGGUGGUUCUGAAUGGAAGGGCCAUCGCUCAACGGAUAAAAGGUACUCCGGGGAUAACAGGCUGAUACCGCCCAAGAGUUCAUAUCGACGGCGGUGUUUGGCACCUCGAUGUCGGCUCAUCACAUCCUGGGGCUGAAGUAGGUCCCAAGGGUAUGGCUGUUCGCCAUUUAAAGUGGUACGCGAGCUGGGUUUAGAACGUCGUGAGACAGUUCGGUCCCUAUCUGCCGUGGGCGCUGGAGAACUGAGGGGGGCUGCUCCUAGUACGAGAGGACCGGAGUGGACGCAUCACUGGUGUUCGGGUUGUCAUGCCAAUGGCACUGCCCGGUAGCUAAAUGCGGAAGAGAUAAGUGCUGAAAGCAUCUAAGCACGAAACUUGCC
rnacentral:rRNA from 1 species